UACGGAGGGGGUUAGCGUUGUUCGGAAUGACUGGGCGUAAAGCGCGCGUAGGCGGAUCAUCAAGUCGGGGGUGAAAUCCCAGGGCUCAACCCUGGAACUGCCUUUCAUACUGGCAAUCUCGAGUCCGAGAGAGGUGAGUGGAAUUCCGAGUGUAGAGGUGAAAUUCGUAGAUAUUCGGAGGAACACCAGUGGCGAAGGCGGCUCACUGGCUCGAUACUGACGCUGAGGUGCGAAAGCGUGGGGAGCAAACAGG
rnacentral:rRNA from 1 species